GGCCUCCCUCUGCGGGGCCAUCGAGCAUGGGGCUCCAUGAUGGAUAGCUCAGCAGAGGGAGGCC
rfam:Myotis brandtii contig155506, whole genome shotgun sequence.